rnacentral:rRNA from 1 species
AUUGAACGCUGGCGGCAUGCCUUACACAUGCAAGUCGAACGGCAGCACGGGUGCUUGCACCUGGUGGCGAGUGGCGAACGGGUGAGUAAUACAUCGGAACGUACCUUAUCGUGGGGGAUAACGCAGCGAAAGUUGCGCUAAUACCGCAUACGCCCUGAGGGGGAAAGCGGGGGACCGUAAGGCCUCGCGCGAUUAGAGCGGCCGAUGUCUGAUUAGCUUGUUGGCGAGGGAAAAGCUCACCAAGGCGAUGAUCAGUAGCUGGUCUGAGAGGACGAUCAGCCACACUGGGACUGAGACACGGCCCAGACUCCUACGGGAGGCAGCAGUGGGGAAUUUUGGACAAUGGGGGCAACCCUGAUCCAGCAAUGCCGCGUGAGUGAAGAAGGCCUUCGGGUUGUAAAGCUCUUUUGUCAGGGAAGAAACAGCAGCUCUAACACAGUCUGCGAAUGACGGUACCUGAAGAAUAAGCACCGGCUAACUGCGUGCCAGCCGCCGCCGUAA